CCAGACGGCUGGGCGGCCGCUGCUCUCAAUAUGAAGGUGGAGGAAAGUCCGGGCUCCACGGGAACACGGUGCCGGCUAACGGCCGGCGGGGGCGACCCUAGGGAAAGUGCCACAGAAAACAAACCGUCCGCUCAAGGGGGCUCACGCUCCCUCCUGCGGGCAAGGGUGAAACGGUGCGGCAAGAGCGCACCGCGCCUUCGGCAACGAAGGCGGCACGGUAAACCCCACCGGGAGCAAGACCGAAUAGGGGCGGCCGGCUGACCCGUCGCGAGACGGGAGAGGCGAGGGCGUUCCCGCCCCGCUGCCCGGGUUGGUCGCGCGAGACGCGCCGCGAGGCGCGUCCCAGAGGAAUGGCCGUCCCGCGCCGCCCCGAAAGGGCUCCUGCGCGGACAGAACCCGGCUUACAGGCCGUCUGGCACC
rnacentral:RNase_P_RNA from 1 species